UUCUUUGAUGCCUGGCCAAGAAUUCAGUUCUCUGUCAACAAAUGGAGGUAAUAUCUCAUUGGACUACUUUGGUUCUAAUGCCAUUCCUUCUUAGAUAACCAAGGGCACCAGUGGUGUUUUGGGGGGAAGUCAUUGAGAAGAUGUGACCACUGGUUGACCUUCACACUGGACCCAGGCAAUUGUGCAUGCUACAUGAAGUUAUAUGUAAGUGGGACCAAAAUGUAAAUGCAUUAUUAAAUGUGGGAACGUCAAGCUUCAAUUUACCGAGAAUUCAAAAGAUAACCAUCAUCAUCAUCAUCAUCAAUAAUAUUGAACUUUUUCAAUAAGAUGAUAAGGAAUUUUCUGAUUUCCUGCAUGGGGAAUGAAAAGCUGUAGCAUCAGGCACUCCUCAGCAUGCUUUGAGAGAAAAAAAUGGAAUUUUGGAAACAGUAAUGCAGGAAGCAUCGGAUAUAAUGGGAAAGUUUUUCUUUUGAGUAAUUGCCAACUCCGAGACUUAGGACACAAUGGACAUACUGAUAAGAUCAAAAGUAGAACCUAUAAGAGGAUCUAAAAAAAUCUGGUAACUAGAAAUGGAUCUAUAUGUCUACAAAGGAAUGGGCUGAGACUCUUGAAACUUGUUUC